GGUGAAGAACGUAGCGAAAUGCGAUAAGUAAUGUGAAUUGCAGAAUUCAGUGAAUCAUCGAAUCUUUGAACGCACAUUGCGCCCGUCAGUAUUCUGGCGGGCAUGCCUGUUCGAGCGUCAUUACGCCCCUCAAGUCCCCUGUGGACUUGGUGUUGGGGAUCGGCGAGGCUGGUUUUCCAGCACAGCCGUCCCUUAAAUUAAUUGGCGGUCUCGCCGUGGCCCUCCUCUGCGCAGUAGUAAAACACUCGCAACAGGAGCCCGGCGCGGUCCACUGCCGUAAAACCCCCCAACUUUUUAUAGUUGACCUCGAAUCAGGUAGGACUACCCGCUGAACUUAAGCAUAUCAAUAAGCGGAGGA
rnacentral:misc_RNA from 1 species